GAUGAACGCUGGCGGCGUGCCUAAUACAUGCAAGUCGAGCGAACAGACGAGGGUCUUGCUCCUAUGAAAUUAGCGCGGGGCAGGGGAGUAUAACGUGGAAAAACUAUGUAUCAGACUGGGGUAACAUCAGGGAAAAGGAUCUAUAAUCGGAUAAUAUAGUGAACCUCAUAGUUGAAAAAUUUAAGAGGUUUUUGCUGUAACUUAUUGAUGGAUCCGCGCGGCAUUAGCUAGUUGUUACGGGAACGGCUUACCAAGGCAACGAUGCGUAGCCGACCUGAGAGGGUGAUCGGCCACACUGGAACUGAGACACGGUCCAGACUCCUACGGGAGGCAGCAGUAGGGAAUCUUCCGCAAUGGGCGAAAGCCUGACGGAGCAACGCCGCGUGAGUGAUGAAGGUCUUCGGAUCGUAAAACUCUGUUAUUAGGGAAGAACAAAUGUGUAAGUAACUAUGCACGUAUUGACGGUACCUAACCAGAAAGCCACGGCUAACUACGUG
rnacentral:rRNA from 1 species